GCUCCGGUGGCAUAGUGGUUAGAGCGUCCGCCUCCGAUGCGGGAGGUCGUGGAUUCAAACCCGGGCCGAAUCA